rnacentral:rRNA from 1 species
UGAGGAAUAUUGCGCAAUGGGCGAAAGCCUGACGCAGCAACGCCGCGUGGAUGAUGAAGUUCUUCGGAAUGUAAAAUCCUUUUGCAGGGGACGAAUAUGCUGGCUUGCCAGUACUGACGGUACCUUGCGAAUAAGCACCGGCUAACUCCGUGCCAGCAGCCGCGGUAAUACGGAGGGUGCAAGCGUUAUCCGGAAUCAUUGGGUUUAAAGGGUCCGCAGGCGGAUAUAUAAGUCAGUGGUGAAAUCCUGCAGCUUAACUGCAGAACUGCCAUUGAUACUGUAUAUCUUGAAUUGAGUGGGAGUGGGCGGAAUAUGACAUGUAGCGGUGAAAUGCAUAGAUAUGUCAUAGAACACCGAAAGCGAAGGCAGCUCACUAUACUUAAAUUGACGCUCAUGGACGAAAGCGUGGGGAGCAAACA